UUAUAAAAACAAACUUGAUGGGACAAAUUUGCAAACCUGGAUGCAAACUCUGACCCAUGAAUAAGUACUGUGCUGUUACUUAUGUCUAGAAGUGUUUCUUUUCCGCCUCCUACUGGACAUUUAAGGUACUGCACUGUAUUUGCCGUUUACUUUCGGUUUCUCUCAGUGAAUGCAGUCGGGAAGAACGUUCAUACAGUUCCUAUGGGCUAUUGAUUCCAUCGUUAAAACCUUGGAAAUAUAUGUCUUUUUACAUAAAAGAAGUGAGAAGAACAAUCACCAGUAAAGUCACUAAAGUU